UUUUAGCAGGGAAGAAGCGAAAGUGACGGUACCUGCAGAAAAAGCACCGGCUAACUACGUGCCAGCAGCCGCGGUAAUACGUAGGGUGCAAGCGUUAUCCGGAAUUAUUGGGCGUAAAGAGCUCGUAGGCGGUUUGUCGCGUCUGCUGUGAAAACUGGGGGCUCAACCCCCAGCCUGCAGUGGGUACGGGCAGACUAGAGUGCGGUAGGGGAGAUUGGAAUUCCUGGUGUAGCGGUGGAAUGCGCAGAUAUCAGGAGGAACACCGAUGGCGAAGGCAGAUCUCUGGGCCGUAACUGACGCUGAGGAGCGAAAGGGUGGGGAGCAAACAGGCUUAGAUACCCUGGUAGUCCACCCCGUAAACGUUGGGAACUAGUUGUGGGGUCCAUUCCACGGAUUCCGUGACGCAGCUAACGCAUUAAGUUCCCCGCCUGGGGAGUACGGCCGCAAGGCUAAAACUCAAAGGAAUUGACGGGGACCCGCACAAGCGGCGGAGCAUGCGGAUUAAUUCGAUGCAACGCGAAGAACCUUACCAAGGCUUGACAUAUACGAGAACGGGCCAGAAAUGGUCAACUCUUUGGACACUCGUAAACAGGUGGUGCAUGGUUGUCGUCAGCUCGUGUCGUGAGAUGUUGGGUUAAGUCCCGCAACGAGCGCAACCCUCGUUCUAUGUUGCCAGCACGUAAUGGUGGGAACUCAUGGGAUACUGCCGGGGUCAACUCGGAGGAAGGUGGGGAUGACGUCAAAUCAUCAUGCCCCUUAUGUCUUGGGCUUCACGCAUGCUACAAUGGCCGGUACAAAGGGCUGCAAUACCGUAAGGUGGAGCGAAUCCCAAAAAGCCGGUCCCAGUUCGGAUUGAGGUCUGCAACUCGACCUCAUGAAGUCGGAGUCGCUAGUAAUCGCAGAUCAGCAACGCUGCGGUGAAUACGUUCCCGGGUCUUGUACACACCGCCCGUCAAGUCAUGAAAGUCGGUAACACCUGAAGCCGGUGGCCCUAACCCUUGUGGAGGGAGCCG
rnacentral:rRNA from 1 species